rnacentral:lncRNA from 1 species
AAGACAGUUAUUGCCUCAACUUACAGCUCAUCCAAGAUCAACUGCAGAGGAGGACGAGGGAAAUUUUAUAUGGGAACAAUUAUCUGAAAAAUAGAAUGUCCUCAUUUGUAUGGUCAAGGCUGGGUUGCAGAGAAGUCCAUGUUGCAGCUCAUGGAAAAAAAGAACCAAAGGGACUCAAGAACACUGGCUUAUGUCUUAGAUUGGAGAUGACCUGGAAAGUCAACUUUCACCCAUAACCCAUUGGCCUAAAACAAUAGAAGGCAACUGGAAAAGAGGCAAGGAUUCUAACUACAUACUGCAGAAAAAAUAUUCACACCUGUCAAAUUCCAACAGCUGGCAUUGUUGUUGUUCUACGAAUAAGCACACACAGAAUCCUCGUGAAUAGUUCUUUGUCUCUUGCUCUAGUAAAUCAUAACCUGCUUGUAGCUUUUUUAUGAACCUUCAGGAAUAACUCUUCAGAGGAUGCUAAUACAUCAUUAAGAUUAAAUUGAACCUCAAAGGUGGGUUUUUUUUCCAAAAUGAUAAAGGCCACCAACACUGCAAGGUUUGCCGUCAUUCCCUUGAUCUGGUAAGUGACACCGUCUUCAGGGUUUGUGUACUCAAAGAUAUGAUUAAUAAAACGGUGACCAAGACGUGUGACGUAAUGCUGGUCAUGGACCUGUGGAUGCAGGAAAUAGGCCAGAGGCACCAGGAAUACAUCCUUAACUUCAGCAGGAUUCGGCUGGGCCUGGAAGUUGUGGUCUAUUAAACCCACAAAUGGAGUUAUCAAUGUAUCUGUCUAAAAGCAGAAAACAAAACAGACAAAUUAAGAAGUGAAGUGAUACUGCUUCAAAUCCUAAAAUCAUGCCACUUCUAGGUGAGCUAAGAAAAUACACCGAACCUGGGAGAAGGGGAAGAAAGCUUAUUCCGGAAACAAAUUUAUGUUCCCCCUAAAAUGGGAGUCAUCCUGCUCUACCUGAGGUGACAUCUAUGAGAUGACUCUGAAAAUGAUUUCUUGUAUGAACAUAAAGUAGUACAAUCUUUUGGAAUGGCAAUUUGGCAGUAUCAUAAAAAUGUGUUCGCUUUGACCUGGGAAUUGCAUUUGUGUAUCUGUAUGAUAAAUUCCUACCAGUAAGAAAAGACACAAGUAUAAACCUGAAGAAUUAGUUUCAACAACAGCCCCAAAUUCUAAAGUUAUCACUCUUCACUUUAUAGGCAUUUAGGUUAUAUAAAUUAGGGUUAUAUCCAUAAAAGAGGAUACUAUGUAGCCUUUAAAAACAAUGGGAUAGACAUCUUUCCUUCUCAGUAAAGAAAAAAAUGUGCUAUACUUAUGAACAGAAAAGUAAAGUGAUAUAAUACUAGUUAUGACAUAUUCCCAUUUAUGGAAAAAUUUCAUAGUACAUACACAUAUAUAUAUAAUUAUGUGUCUUAUAUAUAACUAUAUGUGAACUACUUUAUAUAACACACAUGUAUAUAUUACAUGGGAGAGGGAUUUCUAUUUACAACCACAACUGCUUGCAAAUGAACAUGAGUGGCCGGGUGUGGUGGCUCACGCCUGUAAUCCCAGCACUUUGGGAGGCUGAGGUGGGCGGACCACCUGAGGUCAGGAGUUUGAGACCAGCCUAGCCAACAUGAUGAAAUCCCGUCUCUACUAAAAAUACACAAAUUAGCCGGGUGUGGUGGUGCGUGCCUGUAAUCCCAGCUACUCAGGAGGCUGAGGCAGGAGAAUUGCUUGAACUUGGGAGGCGGAGAUAGAUUGCAGUGAGCCGAGAUCAUGCCACUGCACUCCAGCCUGGGUGACAGAGAGAGGCCCAGUCUCAAAAAUAAAAAUAAAUAUAUAAAAGUAAAAAAGCAAAUGAACAUGAGUGUUGUCAAAUGAAAGACUGUUUUGUUAUACUGGAAACCCUGAGAGGGAGGCCUGGGGCUGAGUGAGGAUGUGGGAACUGGUAAGAGCUGCCUGCCUUUGUAUUAGAAAGUGAGAAGAACUGGAAUUCCUGGAGCAUCCCAAGAGGAAGUGGGUGGAAAAAGCCAGAGAGGUAGACACAUGGUGAGGCUGGGACCUAUCCGGCCUGCAGAAUGUUCUGAGGGACAGCCAAAGACAGGAAACCAAAUUUAGGAACAGAGACAACUCAGACCAUUAACCAAAAUAAUAGUGAAAGUCAACAUUUGGACCAGGAGGAGACAAGAGGAACAUAGACUUCGUAUGUCCUUGGGGCAGGAAAUUUGGGGUCAUUAAGUUACCCGAGGGCAGAGGCAACAUUCUACCAGCACGUAACACCACACCUGGCAUUGGGGAAAUGCUUAGUCUCUGAAUAUGGAGUUUUCCAGGUGGACUCUGAGAUAAGGACUCAGAUGCAAGUGAUUUUUUAAGAAAGUGCUCCCAGGGGAAACAGUUAAGGGGAAGAGGGGAGCAAUACUCAUAAGGGAAGAAGGCUGGCAAGGGCACCAUGGGGUGUUCUGGAGGGUAAAUUAAUAUGCAGUUUGUCCCACAUGGAGACAAGGGAGCUGGGAUUUCAUGCUCCCCAGCCCCAGUCAGUCACUGGUUAAGGACUACCUUGCCAGAGGUGAAUUCACAGGCACUCCCAGCUCUCUGUGCAGGACACAUGGCAAGGUGGCUCCAGUAUCAAGGGUACCAGUAUUCAGAAGAAAGCUGCCAAGUGUUGUCAGAGGCGUUUGAACCAGAGCAACUCCAUCUUGAAUAGGGGCUGGGUAAGAUAAGGCUUGGAGCUACUGGGCUGCAUUCCCAGGAGGUUAGGGCAUGCUUAGUCACCAGAUGAGACUGAGAUACAAGUCAUAAAGACCUUACAGUAAAGAAGGCCAUCAAAACGCACCAAAACCAAGAUGGCAAUGAAAGUAACCUCUGGUCAUCCUCACUGCUCAUUAUACGAUAAUUAGAAAGCAUUAGAAUGUUAAAAGAUACUCCCACUAGUGCCAUGACAGAUUACAAAUGCCACGGCAAUGUCAGGAAGUUACCCUACAUGGUCUAAAAAUGGGAGGAACUCUCACCUCUGGGAAUUGCCCAUCCCUUUCCUGGAAAACUCAUGAAUAACCCACCCCUUGUUUAGCAUAUGAUCAAGAAAUAACCAUAAAAAUGGCCAACCAGCAGCACAUGCUGUUGCUCUGUUAUGGAAUAGCCAUUCUUUUUUUUCUUUACUUCUCUAAUAAACUUGCUUUCACUUUAUGGACUCACCCUGUGAGAUCCUAGAACCCUCUCUUAGGGUCUGGAUCAGGCCCCCUAUCUGGUAACAGUGAGUUAUCAGAAGCCCUGGGGUUGUAAGAGGAAUAUGAAGGGGCCUGGACAGAGCCCCAACAAUGUAUGCUCAGUAAAUAUUCGUGGUUGCUGCUACCAUUGGUGACCACAACUUACGGGCACCUAGUCUAGUUCCCAGCACCCUCUGAUUCCUUACAACAAUCUGAUCGCGAAGAAGCCUUAACAACUACAAUUAGAGACGUGAAGAAACUUGCCCAAGGGCAUAUUCUGCUGAUACUUGGCAGAAACUGGAUUCGACCACAGAUGUGUUGCUCAUACUCCUGGGUAUAUUUCAGAGACCUUUGCAAAAAGUAGUACAUAAAUGUCUGACAAAAGGGAAAACUGGGGUGGGGGUUGUGGUGUCACAGCCUGCCUGGAAGGCUUAUGUAGCGGGUACAUACAUAGGUGCAUACAUACAUAGGUAGCUACUCUGGAGGCUGAGGCAGGAGAAUUGCUUGAACUUGGGAGGUGGAGGUUGCAGUGAGCUGAGAUCACUGGGACUCGAGAUCACUUGAGAAAAGCCAAUAGCACCCUUCCACUCCCAGCUAUGAUCUCCAGACAUUACCAAAUUCCCCAGGGUUGAAAAAUCACUCCAGGUUAAGAGCCACGUAGAUUAGAUUAUGCUUAUAAUUUUCAAUAAAUGGCAUUUUUGUGAUACAUUUUAAAAAUUAGCAGGGGCCAAAAAACAAAGCAACCCUCCCUUGCACUUCCAAACAAAGCAGACUUUUUAAAGCCUUUGUUUAAUCUCUCAAUCACGCCAUUUUAGAAAUCUCCUGUUCCAGGAGUAUCUGGCCCCCAGGAAUCUCCCAGAGACACUUUCCUGUUAAUGCUCCUGAAUUCUAUCCACCCACAUGCAGAACUCAGUAGCACCUGGGGACCUUGGGAACAGAGUUAGUCUCAUUUUGGAAACUUUUAAUCAGUAUAGCUAAAUUAGUUAAUUGAUUUCUAAAGUAAAUCCUCCAAAUGCUGGUGGAUUUGCGGAAAUCAACUGUAAAGAGUUCCCAUUAGAAAACCAAAUGGAAAAGUAAUUGACACAUUUCGUGUGUAAUCCCAUGUCUCCAUCUCGCUUUCAUACACACACACUUAGAAAACAUUUAUUGAGUGGCCACUAGCUUUUUGCAAACAAAACCACCCUUGGGUACUGACCUUUCUAUUUUUAAAAAGGACCCAAUUAAGACAGACAUUGUCUCAGCAUCACUGAUCUUCAAAACACUGCCCCACCAAGACUUCAGUCAAGUGGAACAUAAAGGAUCAUCUAACCCACUGGUUUUCUAAGUGUUAGGCAACAGUGGGACU